rnacentral:rRNA from 1 species
GGUUAAGCGAAUAAGCGUACACGGUGGAUGCCUAGGCAAUCAGAGGCGAUGAAGGACGUGCUAAUCUGCGAAAAGCGUCGGUAAGGUGAUAUGAACCGUUAUACCCGACGAUAUCCGAAUGGGGAAACCCAGUAUCCAAUGGAUACUAUCAUUAACUGAAUCCAUAGGUUAAUGAGGCGAACCGGGAGAACUGAAACAUCUCAGUACCCCGAGGAAAAGAAAUCAACCGAGAUUCCCCUAGUAGCGGCGAGCGAACGGGGAGCAGCCCAGAGUCUUAAUCAAUAGCAGUGUCAGGAGAACGGUCUGGAAAGUCCGGCAGUAAAGGGUGAUAGCCCCGUAUCUGAAGAUGCUGUUGUUGUGAACUCGACGAGUAGGGCGGGACACGUGUUAUCCUGUCUGAAUAUGGGGGGACCAUCCUCCAAGGCUAAAUACUCCUGAUUGACCGAUAGUGAACCAGUACCGUGAGGGAAAGGCGAAAAGAACCCCGGCGAGGGGAGUGAAAAAGAACCUGAAACCGUGUACGUACAAGCAGUAGGAGCCUCUUUAUGGGGUGACUGCGUACCUUUUGUAUAAUGGGUCAGCGACUUAUAUUCUGUAGCAAGGUUAACCGCAUAGGGGAGCCGUAGGGAAACCGAGUCUUAACUGGGCGAAUGAGUUGCAGGGUAUAGACCCGAAACCCGGUGAUCUAUCCAUGGGCAGGUUGAAGGUUGGGUAACACUAACUGGAGGACCGAACCGACUAAUGUUGAAAAAUUAGCGGAUGACUUGUGGAUGGGGGUGAAAGGCCAAUCAAACCGGGAGAUAGCUGGUUCUCCCCGAAAGCUAUUUAGGUAGCGCCUCGUGAACUCAUCUUCGGGGGUAGAGCACUGUUUCGACUAGGGGGUCAUCCCGACUUACCAACUCGAUGCAAACUGCGAAUACCGAAGAAUGUUAUCACGGGAGACACACGGCGGGUGCUAACGUCCGUCGUGAAGAGGGAAACAACCCAGACCGCCAGCUAAGGUCCCAAAGUCAUGGUUAAGUGGGAAACGAAGUGGGAAGGCUCAGACAGCCAGGAUGUUGGCUUAGAAGCAGCCAUCAUUUAAAGAAAGCGUAAUAGCUCACUGGUCGAGUCGGCCCGCGCGGAAGAUGUAACGGGGCUAAACCAUGCACCGAAGCUGCGGCAGCGACACGUAGUGUUGUUGGGUAGGGGAGCGUUCUGUAAGCCUGCGAAGGUGUACUGUGAGGUAUGCUGGAGGUAUCAGAAGUGCGAAUGCUGACAUAAGUAACGAUAAUGCGGGUGAAAAACCCGCACGCCGGAAGACCAAGGGUUCCUGUCCAACGUUAAUCGGGGCAGGGUGAGUCGACCCCUAAGGCGAGGCUGAAAAGCGUAGUCGAUGGGAAACGGGUUAAUAUUCCCGUACUGGUGGUAACUGCGAUGGGGGAACGGAGAAGGCUAGGUUGUCCGGGCGACGGUCGUCCCGGUUCAAGCAGGUAGGCAGAGUGAUUAGGCAAAUCCGGUCACUUAAUGCUGAGAUGUGAUGACGAACCACCAAGGUGGUGAAGCAAUUGAUGCCCCGCUUCCAGGAAAAGCCUCUAAGCUUCAGGUUACCAACAAUCGUACCCCAAACCGACACAGGUGGUCAGGUAGAGAAUACUCAGGCGCUUGAGAGAACUCGGGUGAAGGAACUAGGCAAAAUGGUGCCGUAACUUCGGGAGAAGGCACGCUGGCGGUAGGUAAAGUCCCUCGCGGACGGCGCUGAAGCCAGUCGAAGAUACCAGCUGGCUGCAACUGUUUAUUAAAAACACAGCACUGUGCAAACACGAAAGUGGACGUAUACGGUGUGACGCCUGCCCGGUGCUGGAAGGUUAAUUGAUGGGGUCAGCCGUAAGGCGAAGCUCCUGAUCGAAGCCCCAGUAAACGGCGGCCGUAACUAUAACGGUCCUAAGGUAGCGAAAUUCCUUGUCGGGUAAGUUCCGACCUGCACGAAUGGCGUAAUGAUGGCCAGGCUGUCUCCACCCGAGACUCAGUGAAAUUGAACUCGCUGUGAAGAUGCAGUGUACCCGCGGCAAGACGGAAAGACCCCGUGAACCUUUACUAUAGCUUGACACUGAACAUUGAGCCUUGAUGUGUAGGAUAGGUGGGAGGCUUUGAAGUGUGGACGCCAGUCUGCAUGGAGCCAACCUUGAAAUACCACCCUUUAACGUUUGAUGUUCUAACCUAGGCCCAUAAACUGGGUCGGGGACCGUGUCUGGUGGGUAGUUUGACUGGGGCGGUCUCCUCCUAAAGAGUAACGGAGGAGCACGAAGGUUGGCUAAGCAUGGUCGGACAUCAUGCGGUUAGUGCAAAGGCAUAAGCCAGCUUGACUGCGAGAGUGACGGCUCGAGCAGGUACGAAAGUAGGUCUUAGUGAUCCGGUGGUUCUGAAUGGAAGGGCCAUCGCUCAACGGAUAAAAGGUACUCCGGGGAUAACAGGCUGAUACCGCCCAAGAGUUCAUAUCGACGGCGGUGUUUGGCACCUCGAUGUCGGCUCAUCACAUCCUGGGGCUGAAGUAGGUCCCAAGGGUAUGGCUGUUCGCCAUUUAAAGUGGUACGCGAGCUGGGUUUAGAACGUCGUGAGACAGUUCGGUCCCUAUCUGCCGUGGGCGUUGGAAGAUUGAGAGGGGUUGCUCCUAGUACGAGAGGACCGGAGUGAACGCACCACUGGUGUUCGGGUUGUCAUGCCAAUGGCAUUGCCCGGUAGCUAAGUGCGGAAGAGAUAACCGCUGAAAGCAUCUAAGCGGGAAACUUGCCUCGAGAUGAGUCUUCCCUGUCACUUUAAGUGACCUAAAGGAACGUUUAAGACUAAGACGUUGAUAGGCUGGGUGUGUAAGCGUAGCGAUACGUUGAGCUAACCAGUACUAAUGAACCGUGAGGCUUAACCUG